rnacentral:rRNA from 1 species
UCUCUKKUUCUUGGUCAUUUAGAGGAAGUAAAAGUMGUAACAAGGUUUCCGUAGGUGAACCUGCGGAAGGAUCAUUAAUACAUGUUGAGCGCACUUUAAUGUGACAUAACUAUUACCACCCCACCCAGAGGUGCAUUGUGGCCUUUUACGAGGUUAGCAGUGUAUCAGUACGUAACUUUGAGUUACAUUACCCAUCAUUUACCCCCAUUUACACUUAAUAAGUUUUAAGAAUGAUACCUAUAAUUAUAUAACUUUCARCAAUGGAUCUCUAGGCUCUCACAUCGAUGAAGAACACAGUANAACCUGUUUGAGUGUCACGAAACCCCCCUCGGCUCUUUCAUUAGAGACGGAUUCUGAGUGUUGGCGUGCAAACGCCUCGCUUUAAAUAGAUCAGCACUUUUGGAUGGUUGAAUAUUAGUUCAAAAGACGUACUUGAUGUUGUAUUUAUAUGUCAUUGAGGCAGUCUUUGGUCGUUACGACUAUCCGCUAAUACGAAAACUUGAAGAAUAGCUUCCUAACUUAGAAUUAACCUUUAGACUUCAAAUCAGGUGGGACUACCCGCUGAACUUAAGCAUAUCAAUAAGCGGAGGAAAAGAAAAUAACUAUGAUUCCCUUAGUAACGGCGAGUGAACAGGGAAAAGCCCAAAUUUGUAAUCUGGCACUUUUUACAAGUGUCCGAGUUGUAAUUUGUAGAACUGUUAUCCGUGCUGGACCAUGUACAAGUCUGUUGAAAAGCAGCAUCAUUGAGGGUGAUAAUCCCCUGUUUGAGUGUCACGAAACCCCCCUCGGCUCUUUCAUUAGAGACGGAUUCUGAGUGUUGGCGUGCAAACGCCUCGCUUUAAAUAGAUCAGCACUUUUGGAUGGUUGAAUAUUAGUUCAAAAGACGUACUUGAUGUUGUAUUUAUAUGUCAUUGAGGCAGUCUUUGGUCGUUACGACUAUCCGCUAAUACGAAAACUUGAAGAAUAGCUUCCUAACUUAGAAUUAACCUUUAGACUUCAAAUCAGGUGGGACUACCCGCUGAACUUAAGCAUAUCAAUAAGCGGAGGAAAAGAAAAUAACUAUGAUUCCCUUAGUAACGGCGAGUGAACAGGGAAAAGCCCAAAUUUGUAAUCUGGCACUUUUUACAAGUGUCCGAGUUGUAAUUUGUAGAACUGUUAUCCGUGCUGGACCAUGUACAAGUCUGUUGAAAAGCAGCAUCAUUGAGGGUGAUAAUCC